rnacentral:rRNA from 1 species
CCUACGGGGGGCAGCAGUGAGGAAUAUUGGUCAAUGGGCGCGAGCCUGAACCAGCCAAGUAGCGUGAAGGAUGACUGCCCUACGGGUUGUAAACUUCUUUUAUAAAGGAAUAAAGUGAGGCACGUGUGCCUUUUUGUAUGUACCUUAUGAAUAAGCAUCGGCUAACUCCGUGCCAGCAGCCGCGGUAAUACGGAGGAUCCGAGCGUUAUCCGGAUUUAUUGGGUUUAAAGGGAGCGUAGAUGGGUUGUUAAGUCAGCUGUGAAAGUUUGUGGCUCAACCGUAAAAUUGCAGUUGAUACUGGCAGCCUUGAGUACAUUUGAGGUAGGCGGAAUUCGUGGUGUAGCGGUGAAAUGCUUAGAUAUCACGAAGAACUCCGAUUGCGAAGGCAGCCUACUAAACUGCCACUGACAUUGAUGCUCGAAAGUGUGGGGAUCAAACAGGAUUAGAUACCCGAGUAGUC